CAGCAACGUAUCCUGCGUUUGUGACCUAGUGUAGCCAACACAGCUCCAGACAAACAGCGGCCACGCCAAUCAGCAAAAUCUGUCCACCACGAGGGAACAGGGAGCAACCGGCAGCCACGCAGGAUCUGAGAGGCUGAUUGGCAAUUUCAGCAGCAAAACCACAGUUCAGUGGAAGAGAUGGACGCAGCCAAACUGAGAGCUCCCUGCCGUUGCCGUGGUAACGUCUCAACAAGAGGGAUCUGUCUGGACUUAAUAAAACUGUCAGACCACCAGCUGGGACUGUUAAAUAAAGACAGCAUGAAGGCUCGAUCUGCUGUCAGAAGCAGCUCAGUGGAACGGCUCAUUACGGGCCAUGAGAUAUAAAACUCGCAGCUAAAUAUAUGAAGUGCAUUAGGACUGACUUAAAGGACUUUGGUUUAAGAGCUAUUUAGAGAGAUAGAUGGAUGCUGUGGAUAAGGCUGAAAACACAUUAACCUAAUAUGGUUGCUCUGACUAAAGUGCUUGGAAGCAAUUGCUUAUUUACACAUCCAGGAGACAUAUAACAGUAUUAGCAUUAAUCUGUGGUCGUGUUUCUGGUUACCUGAUGAAUCUAAGUGCAAUAUUUACUCUGUUUUGGCUGUUUAUCCCUCCAUUCACUCCUGGGAGAGAGGAAAAUGUCCUUGUACUUGCUGUUACACCAUCUUCACUAAUCGUCACGUCUAGUUGUAGUUCUUGUAGACCCUUUCUUUUUAUUUGACUAUAAAAAAAUAAAAUAAAAUCUAAUGUUAAAAUAAGUCCAUUACUGCAGUGAGGAUCAACCAUAACAAUUGCAGGCUGGAAAAUCAAAACAAAAAGCUGAAAGAUGCUGAAAACUUCUGCAGAGUUGAGAGGAAAUGUGAACAGGUUUGUCCAUACAAGCAAUACCUAGUAAUUAAAUAUGAUUUUCUAAAUCUUAUUCACAUCGAAAUAAAGUGCUUUGCAAAUGAAGUGAAAAUUGUAUGUUUCUCAGUUUUCAAAAAGGCAAAUGAAAGAUAUAAUAAUCCAGAGUGGCAUUUAUGUGGUAUGAAUUAAUGCCAUGCAAAUCAACAAUAAAAGUUAACAAAGUUUAUUACAUGUUUAUAUACAAACAACCCUGCAAGGCACACCUUUUGUUUAAAUAAGAAUAUACAACACAUUUUAUUCUUGAAAGCAGUCAACCUUUAGUUGUGAAAUAUAUAUUAAUACAAGUCUGUUUAGUGUUUCACAGAGAAAGAAGGCCCCAAAUUGUAGAUGUUCAGUCAACACAAACAAACAAAAAAAAAGUAAAUGAUCAAACACUUUAUGAUGUAAACAACUUAACAUCUUUCAUAUAUUAUUUGCGCUAACAUAUUGUAAUGUCGGGGGAGUUUCAUGAUGCCUUUUUGUCCUCUCUGCUGACUAAAUGAUGAAGUUCAGACAAAACACUUUGUACUGUAUAGUACUUAUCCAGACAGAAGAACUAGCUUAAAUGGACUGGCCUUUUUUAAGCUAACUAUAUUGCCCUAAUGUGACAAUCUUUGUUGGUAAGAACACAAAGAGCUCUGAUUCUGUACUUCAUAUGGGCAGAAAUUAAAUGAGACUGAAGGUAGGUCUCUUUUUGUUUGGACCAUUUUAUCUAAUUUAAUGGUUAAACUAAAACAACAUUUUAAAAAAAGGCUCUUAUAAUACACUCUGUUAAACUCUUUGUUAGGCCACAGGUUAUGCAUAUGUUUAAAAUGAGGGAUCAGGAGAGACAGAAGAAGACAAAAUGAGUUGUUCAGAUGAAAUAAAACAUAUAUCUGAGUUGGCAUUUGGAAAAGCUUCUUACAUAAAAAAAUCCGGGUAAAGGCAACUUAACCGUUCACAUAAACAACAUAUCAUUAUAGUUGUAUUCUGUACAUUGUUCAGUACAGACUAUAGAUCGUGUAGUGAUCAGUCACGUCAUCCUGUCACUCCACCGGAGCUGCCUUUAUUAAAAGUGUUUGCCCAACAUCAAUCAGAACAUCUGUGAAAAAAAACUUUUGUUGCCUGCUCACAGCGCAUAAAGCAAAGAUUGAAAGAUGAAAGGAUGCUCAUGACAAAAGCCUGUCAUGACUCAUGAAAUAACACUAAACAAUGGGACAAAAAAAAAAUGUUUGG